GACGAACGCUGGCGGCGUGCUUAACACAUGCAAGUCGAACGAUGACGACCGAGCUUGCUCGGUCUGAUUAGUGGCGAACGGGUGAGUAACACGUGAGCAACCUGCCCUUCACUCUGGGAUAACCUCGGGAAAUCGGGGCAAUACCGGAUAUGAGCUCCUGUCGCAUGGCGGGUGUUGGAAAGUUUUUCGGUGAAGGAUGGGCUCGCGGCCUAUCAGUUUGUUGGUGAGGUAGUGGCUCACCAAGGCGAUGACGGGUAGCCGGCCUGAGAGGGCGACCGGCCACACUGGGACUGAGACACGGCCCAGACUCCUACGGGAGGCAGCAGUGGGGAAUAUUGCACAAUGGGCGAAAGCCUGAUGCAGCGACGCCGCGUGAGGGAUGACGGCCUUCGGGUUGUAAACCUCUUUCAGCAGGGAAGAAGCGAAAGUGACGGUACCUGCAGAAGAAGCGCCGGCUAACUACGUG
rnacentral:rRNA from 1 species